GAUGGUGUGGCGCAACGGUAGCGCAGAGGAUUGUCUAUCCUAAGGUUGCGAGUUCGAAUCUCGUCUCCAUCGCCA
rnacentral:tRNA from 1 species